rnacentral:misc_RNA from 1 species
UUCCGUAGGUGAACCUGCGGAAGGAUCAUUAACGUAUUACAGUUAAAAUGUAUGCUCCAGAAGCAUCGUCUGUUUUACAAAAAAUAUAAAAAUUGCUUAAGCACAAAUGAUAGUUAUUAAAUUAAUUAUUUUUUUGUUGUCUUAAUGCAAAAUUGUUGAACGAGCCGUCAGUUAUAUAACGCUUGUUUCGUUAAACUGUUCUGGCCAGUGAAGUGUCUGCCGUGGUAGCCUUGUAAAGGACCCUCAUAGCACAUGUGAGUCUUCACUUAUAUAUAAAUUAUAAGUAUUAGCAUUGUGUGAUUGUUGUUCCGUGGCUUUUAAAUGAAUUUUCGCCCGGCGCCUUUAAACGGCAUUUCUAUGCUAGUGUCACGCGCGUUUGGUAUUGAUCUUUAGAUCAAAAAUUCAGGCGUUAGCGUAUCAGCUGGCCGGUGCGGGUGUUGUUUGAAAUUAAUUUUUCUUACUGAUAUUCGCACCAAACCGCUUUGAAGCAAGCUUUAAACGUUAAUAAUUUAUUAUUAUCGUGAGAUUCUUGUCUGUCAAAAUCGGUCUAUCGAACUUUGAAAUAAAAACAUACAAAAUGUAAAUGAUUACCCUGAACGGUGGAUCACUUGGCUCGUGGGUCGAUGAAG